rnacentral:rRNA from 1 species
UACGGAGGGAGCAAGCGUUACUCGGAAUUAUUGGGCGUAAAGGGCGCGUAGGCGAUUUGAAAAGUCUUGUGUGAAAGCCCCGAGCUUAACUCGGGAAGUGCACAAGAAGCUGUUGAAUUUGAGUUCCGGAGAGGAAGGCAGAAUUCCCGGUGUAGCGGUGAAAUGCGUAGAUAUCGGGAGGAAUACCAGUGGCGAAGGCGGCCUUCUGGACGGAUACUGACGCUGAGGCGCGAAAGCCAGGGGAGCAAACGGG